UACGUAGGGGGCUAGCGUUGUCCGGAAUCAUUGGGCGUAAAGAGCGUGUAGGCGGUCCGGUAAGUCCGCUGUGAAAGUCGGGGGCUCAACCCUCGAAUGCCCGGUGGAGUACUGUCGGGCUAGAGUGCGGAAGAGGCGAGUGGAAUUCCCGGUGUAGGAGGUGAAAUUCGUAGAGUAUCGGGAGGACACCAGUGGCGAAGGCGAGU
rnacentral:rRNA from 1 species